AUCCAGUUGACGAGUUCCAAAUGGGACGAAAUGCGCAUCCUGAAU
rfam:Schistosoma mattheei strain Denwood, Zambia genome assembly, scaffold: SMTD_scaffold0000646